rnacentral:rRNA from 1 species
CGGUGGAGCAUGUGGUUUAAUUGAAGCAACGCGCAGAACCUUACCAACCCUUGACAUCCUGUGCUACAUCCAGAGAUGGAUGGUUCCCUUCGGGGACGCAGUGACAGGUGCUGCAUGGCUGUCGUCAGCUCGUGUCGUGAGAUGUUCGGUUAAGUCCGGCAACGAGCGCAACCCACAUCCCUAGUUGCCAGCAGUUCGGCUGGGCACUCUAUGGAAACUGCCCGUGAUAAGCGGGAGGAAGGUGUGGAUGACGUCAAGUCCUCAUGGCCCUUACGGGUUGGGCUACACACGUGCUACAAUGGUAGUGACAAUGGGUUAAUCCCAAAAAGCUAUCUCAGUUCGGAUUGUCGUCUGCAACUCGACGGCAUGAAGUCGGAAUCGCUAGUAAUCGCGUAACAGCAUGACGCGGUGAAUACGUUCCCGGGCCUUGUACACACCGCCCGUCACACCAUGGGAGUUGGUUCUACCCGACGGCCGUGCGCUAACCUUUUGGAGGCAGCGGACCACGGUAGGAUCAGCGACUGGGGUG